rnacentral:rRNA from 1 species
GAUGAACGCUGGCGGCGUGCCUAAUACAUGCAAGUUGAGCGAACGGACGAGAAGCUUGCUUUUCUGAUGUUAGCGGCGGACGGGUGAGUAACACGUGGAUAACCUACCUAUAAGACUGGGAUAACUUCGGGAAACCGGAGCUAAUACCGGAUAAUAUUUUGAACCGCAUGGUUCAAAAGGGAAAGACGGUCUUGCUGUCACUUAUAGAUGGAUCCGCGCUGCAUUAGCUAGUUGGUAAGGUAACGGCUUACCAAGGCAACGAUGCAUAGCCGACCUGAGAGGGUGAUCGGCCACACUGGAACUGAAACACGGACCAGAGUCCUAAGGGAGGCAGCAGUAGGGAACGUUCCGCAAUGGGCGAAAGCCUGACGGAGCAACGCCGCGUGAGUGAUGACGGUCUUCGGAUCGUAAAACUCUGUUAUUAGGGAAGAACAUAUGUGUAAGUAACUGUGCACAUCUUGACGGUACCUAAUCAGAAAGCCACGGCUAACUACGUG